rnacentral:rRNA from 1 species
UGGGGAAUAUUGCACAAUGGAGGGAACUCUGAUGCAGCGACGCCGCGUGAACGAAGAAGGCUUUCGAGUCGUAAAGUUCUUUUAUAUGGGAAGAUAAUGACGGUACCAUAAGAAAAAGCCCCGGCUAACUACGUGCCAGCAGCCGCGGUAAUACGUAGGGGGCUAGCGUUGUCCGGAAUCACUGGGCGUAAAGGGUUCGCAGGCGGAAAUGCAAGUCAGGUGUAAAAGGCAGUAGCUUAACUACUGUAAGCAUUUGAAACUGCAUAUCUUGAGAAGAGUAGAGGUAAGUGGGAUUUUUAGUGUAGCGGUGAAAUGCGUAGAUAUUAAAAAGAAUACCGGUGGCGAAGGCGACUUACUGGGCUCAUUCUGACGCUGAGGAACGAAAGCGUGGGUAGCAAGCAGG